rnacentral:rRNA from 1 species
GGACGAACGCUGGCGGCGUGCCUAAUACAUGCAAGUCGAGCGGACUUGUAGGAGCUUGCUCCUGCAGGUUAGCGGCGGACGGGUGAGUAACACGUGGGCAACCUACCUGUAAGACUGGGAUAACUUCGGGAAACCGGAGCUAAUACCGGAUGACAUAAAGGAACUCCUGUUCCUUUAUUGAAAGAUGGCUUCGGCUAUCACUUACAGAUGGGCCCGCGGCGCAUUAGCUAGUUGGUGAGGUAACGGCUCACCAAGGCAACGAUGCGUAGCCGACCUGAGAGGGUGAUCGGCCACACUGGGACUGAGACACGGCCCAGACUCCUACGGGAGGCAGCAGUAGGGAAUCUUCCGCAAUGGACGAAAGUCUGACGGAGCAACGCCGCGUGAACGAUGAAGGCCUUCGGGUCGUAAAGUUCUGUUGUUAGGGAAGAACAAGUGCUAG